rnacentral:tRNA from 1 species
GCCCGAGUAGCUCAGUUGGUAGAGCAACUCCAUGGUAAGGAGUAGGUCGCCGGUUCGACUCCGGCCUCGGGCU